rnacentral:rRNA from 1 species
UACGGGGGGGGCAAGCGUUGUUCGGAAUUACUGGGCGUAAAGAGCUCGCAGGCGGUCGUUCAAGUCGCGUGUGAAAGCCCCCGGCUCAACUGGGGAGGGUCACGCGAUACUGAUCGACUCGAAGGCAGGAGAGGGUAGUGGAAUUCCCGGUGUAGUGGUGAAAUGCGUAGAUAUCGGGAGGAACACCAGUGGCGAAGGCGGCUGUCUGGGCCAGUUCUGACGCUGAGGCGCGAAAGCGUGGGGAGCAAACAGG